rnacentral:rRNA from 1 species
CAGCCGCCGCGGUAACACGGAGGGGGCUAGCGUUGUUCGGAAUUACUGGGCGUAAAGCGCACGUAGGCGGCGAUCUAAGUCAGGGGUGAAAGCCCGGGGCUCAACCCCGGAAUAGCCUUUGAGACUGGAUUGCUAGAAUCUGGGAGAGGUGAGUGGAAUUCCGAGUGUAGAGGUGAAAUUCGUAGAUAUUCGGAAGAACACCAGUGGCGAAGGUGGCUCACUGGACCAGUAUUGACGCUGAGGUGCGAAAGCGUGGGGAGCAAACAGGAUUAGAUACCCGGGUAGUCCCUGUCUCUUAUAA